UGCGGGGUGGAGCAGUCUGGUAGCUCGUCGGGCUCAUAACCCGAAGGUCACAGGUUCGAAUCCUGUCCCCGCUA
rnacentral:tRNA from 1 species